CCUACGGGAGGCAGCAGUGAGGAAUAUUGGUCAAUGGUCGGGAGACUGAACCAGCCAAGCCGCGUGAGGGAUGAAGGUACAGAGUAUCGUAAACCUCUUUUGUCAGGGAACAAAGGCGGGGACGUGUCCCCGGAUGAGUGUACCUGAAGAAAAAGCAUCGGCUAACUCCGUGCCAGCAGCCGCGGUAAUACGGAGGAUGCGAGCGUUAUCCGGAUUUAUUGGGUUAAAAGGGUGGGCAGGCGGUCUGUUAAGUCAGCGGUCAAAGCACGGGGCUCAACCCCGGCCCGCCGUUGAAACUGGCAGUCGCGAGUUGGAGAGAAGUAUGCGGAAUGCGCGGUGUAGCGGUGAAAUGCAUAGAUAUCGCGCAGAACUCCGAUUGCGAAGGCAGCAUGCCGGCUCCACACUGACGCUGAGGCACGAAAGCGUGGGUAUCGAACAGGAUUAGAUACCCGGGUAGUC
rnacentral:rRNA from 1 species